CCAGGAAUGAAGGAUGCAGUGGUAUCAAGAGAAAUGGGAAGAAACAAAUUCUAUUCUGUAAUAUGGGAUUCAAAACAGAGAGACGAGGACUGUGGACCGUGGACUUCUCCUAUGGACUGUGGACUUCCCAUAUCCCUCUAGGAGGCAAUGAAGGUUAAGUGACUUACCCAGGGUCACACCUAUGACUCUCUCAGCCCUUCACGAGAUGCUUCUAACAUGGUUUCAAUCCCUUUCAUCUAAGAACCAAAGC